rnacentral:rRNA from 1 species
GACGUAGGGGGCAAGCGUUGUCCGGAAUCAUUGGGCGUAAAGGGCGUGUAGGUGGAAAGCCAAGUCAUGAGUAAAAACUCGGGGCUCAACCGCGAGGAGCUGAUGAAACUAGCGAACUAGAGUCCAGGAGAGGGAAGUGGAAUUCCCGGAGUAGCGGUGGAAUGCGUAGAGAUCGGGAGGAACACCAGUGGCGAAAGCGACUUUCUGGCCUGAGACUGACACUGAGGCGCGAGAGCGUGGGUAGCAAACAGG